AAUUCGCCCUUAGAGUUUGAUCCUGGCUCAGGACUAACGCUGGCGGCGUGCCUAAUACAUGCAAGUCGAACGGUCGUGCGUUUGUAGCAAUAUGGACGUACGAUAGUGGCGAACGGGUGAGUAACACGUGGAAAACCUACCCUCGAGCGGGGGAUAACUCCGGGAAACUGGGGCUAAUACCGCAUGACAUCCCAACCUGGCAUCGGGAGGGGAUCAAAGCCGAAAGGCACUUGAGGAUGGUUCCGCGGCCUAUCAGCUAGUUGGCGGGGUAACGGCCCACCAAGGCGACGACGGGUAGCCGGCCUGAGAGGGCGAUCGGCCACAAGGGGACUGAGACACGGCCCCUACUCCUACGGGAGGCAGCAGUAGGGAAUUUUGCUCAAUGGGGGAAACCCUGAAGCAGCGACGCCGCGUGGGCGACGAAAUCCUUCGGGAUGUAAAGCCCUUUUAACCGGGACGAAAUACAUGACGGUACCGGUGGAAUAAGCCUCGGCUAACUCCGUGCCAGCAGCCGCGGUAAGACGGGGGAGGCAAGCGUUGUCCGGAAUCACUGGGUGUAAAGGGCGUGUAGGCGGGCCGGCUAGUCGGUUGUUAAAUCUCUCCGCUCAACGGAGAAGCUGCGGCCGAUACUUCCGGUCUUGAGUGCGGCAGGGGAGGAUGGAAUUCCUGGUGUAGCGGUGAAAUGCGUAGAUAUCAGGAGGAACACCGGUGGCGAAGGCGGUCCUCUGGGCCUGCACUGACGCUGAGUGCGCGAAAGCUGGGGUAGCAAACAGAAUUAGAUACUCUGGUAGUCCCAGCCCUAAACGAUGGGUA
rnacentral:rRNA from 1 species